AUGCUUAUCUGGCAGGGGAGAUACCAUGAUCACGAAGGUAGUUUUCCCAGGGUGAGGCUAUCCAUUGGGCUCCAGAUGUGCUGAACCCUGUGAUUUCCCCAAAUGUGGGAAACUCAACUGCAUAAUUUGUGGUAGUGGGGGACUGUGUUAGCACUUUACCCUA